rnacentral:tRNA from 1 species
GGCGGAUAGGAGAGCUGGUGCUCUCGGCGGCCUCAUAAACCGUUCCAGGCGGGUUCGAUUCCCGCAUCCGCCA